rnacentral:rRNA from 1 species
GUGGGGAAUCUUAGACAAUGGGGGCAACCCUGAUCCAGCCAUGCCGCGUGAGUGAUGAAGGCCCUAGGGUUGUAAAGCUCUUUCACCGGUGAAGAUAAUGACGGUAACCGGAGAAGAAGCCCCGGCUAACUUCGUGCCAGCAGCCGCGGUAAUACGAAGGGGGCUAGCGUUGUUCGGAAUUACUGGGCGUAAAGCGCACGAAGGCGGACAUUUAAGUCAGGGGUGAAAUCCCGGGGCUCAACCGCGGAACUGCCUUUGAUACUGGGUGUCUCGAGUCCGGAAGAGGUGAGUGGAAUUCCGAGUGUAGAGGUGAAAUUCGUAGAUAUUCGGAGGAACACCAGUGGCGAAGGCGGCUCACUGGUCCGGUACUGACGCUGAGGUGCGAAAGCGUGGGGAGCAAACAGGAUUAGAAACCCUGGUAGUCC